GCCGGAAUAGCUCAGUUGGGAGAGCGUCAGACUGAAGAUCUGAAGGUCCCUGGUUCGAUCCCGGGUGCCGGCA
rfam:Mustela putorius furo unplaced genomic scaffold scaffold00330, whole genome shotgun sequence.